GAGUUUGAUCCUGGCUCAGGACGAACGCUGGCGGCGUGCCUAACACAUGCAAGUCGAGCGGGGAGACGCCUUCGGGUGUCUUCUAGCGGCGGACGGGUGAGUAACGCGUGAGCAACCUUUCCUUCACAGGGGGAUAACGCAGCGAAAGCUGUGCUAAUACCGCAUAAGACCACGGGACCGCAUGGUUUUGAGGUCAAAGGAGCAAUCCAGUGAAGGGUGGGCUCGCGUCUGAUUAGCUAGUUGGUGAGGUAACGGCCCACCAAGGCAACGAUCAGUAGCCGACCUGAGAGGGUGAUCGGCCACACUGGGACUGAGACACGGCCCAGACUCCUACGGGAGGCAGCAGUGGGGAAUAUUGGGCAAUGGGCGAAAGCCUGACCCAGCAACGCCGCGUGAGGGAAGAAGGUUUUCGGAUCGUAAACCUCUGUCCUUAGUGAAGAGUAAAAGACGGUAGCUAAGGAGGAAGCCCCGGCUAACUACGUGCCAGCAGCCGCGGUAAUACGUAGGGGGCGAGCGUUGUCCGGAAUGAUUGGGCGUAAAGGGCGCGUAGGCGGCCUGUUAAGUCUGGAGUGAAAGUCCCGUUUUUAAGGUGGGAAUUGCUUUGGAUACUGGCGGGCUGGAGUGCAGGAGAGGUUAGUGGAAUUCCCGGUGUAGCGGUGAAAUGCGUAGAGAUCGGGAGGAACACCAGUGGCGAAGGCGACUAACUGGACUGUAACUGACGCUGAAGCGCGAAAGUGUGGGGAGCAAACAGGAUUAGAUACCCUGGUAGUCCACACGGUAAACGAUGAAUGCUNAGGUGUAGGGGUUGUCAUGACCUCUGUGCCGCCGCAAACGCAUUAAGUAUUCCGCCUGGGGAGUACGGUCGCAAGAUUAAAACUCANAGGAAUUGACGGGGGCCCGCACAAGCAGC
rnacentral:rRNA from 1 species